AGCCUAAACCGUAGCUAUUAGCUAUGGCAUGGCACCAAAACAGUUCAACCCAGAAAGCUCCUAGUCAGAGCUCAGGUUGAACUGUCAUAUCUCGAAAGGGAUAUGGGUGUCGCAAGACAUC
rnacentral:sRNA from 1 species